GUGGCGAACGGGUGAGUAACACGUGAGCAACCUGCCCCUGACUCUGGGAUAAGCGCUGGAAACGGCGUCUAAUACUGGAUACGAGUAGCGACCGCAUGGUCAGUUACUGGAAAGAUUUAUUGGUUGGGGAUGGGCUCGCGGCCUAUCAGCUUGUUGGUGAGGUAAUGGCUCACCAAGGCGUCGACGGGUAGCCGGCCUGAGAGGGUGACCGGCCACACUGGGACUGAGACACGGCCCAGACUCCUACGGGAGGCAGCAGUGGGGAAUAUUGCACAAUGGGCGCAAGCCUGAUGCAGCAACGCCGCGUGAGGGAUGACGGCCUUCGGGUUGUAAACCUCUUUUAGCAGGGAAGAAGCGAAAGUGACGGUACCUGCAGAAAAAGCGCCGGCUAACUACGUGCCAGCAGCCGCGGUAAUACGUAGGGCGCAAGCGUUAUCCGGAAUUAUUGGGCGUAAAGAGCUCGUAGGCGGUUUGUCGCGUCUGCUGUGAAAUCCGGAGGCUCAACCUCCGGCCUGCAGUGGGUACGGGCAGACUAGAGUGCGGUAGGGGAGAUUGGAAUUCCUGGUGUAGCGGUGGAAUGCGCAGAUAUCAGGAGGAACACCGAUGGCGAAGGCAGAUCUCUGGGCCGUAACUGACGCUGAGGAGCGAAAGGGUGGGGAGCAAACAGGCUUAGGUACCCUGGUAGUCCACCCCGUAAACGUUGGGAACUAGUUGUGGGGUCCAUUCCACGGAUUCCGUGACGCAGCUAACGCAUUAAGUUCCCCGCCUGGGGAGUACGGCCGCAAGGCUAAAACUCAAAGGAAUUGACGGGGACCCGCACAAGCGGCGGAGCAUGCGGAUUAAUUCGAUGCAACGCGAAGAACCUUACCAAGGCUUGACAUAUACGAGAACGGGCCAGAAAUGGUCAACUCUUUGGACACUCGUAAACAGGUGGUGCAUGGUUGUCGUCAGCUCGUGUCGUGAGAUGUUGGGUUAAGUCCCGCAACGAGCGCAACCCUCGUUCUAUGUUGCCAGCACGUAAUGGUGGGAACUCAUGGGAUACUGCCGGGGUCAACUCGGAGGAAGGUGGG
rnacentral:rRNA from 1 species